UACGUAGGGUGCAAGCGUUGUCCGGAAUUAUUGGGCGUAAAGAGCUCGUAGGCGGUCUGUCGCGUCGGAUGUGAAAAUCCAGGGCUCAACCCUGGACCUGCAUUCGAUACGGGCAGACUAGAGUUCGGUAGGGGAGACUGGAAUUCCUGGUGUAGCGGUGAAAUGCGUAGAGAUCCGGAAGAACACCGGUGGCGAAGGCGGCCUGCUGGGCAGUUUAGCUGACACUGAGGCGCGACAGCGUGGGGAGCAAACAGG
rnacentral:rRNA from 1 species